UACGGAGGGAGCUAGCGUUGUUCGGAAUUACUGGGCGUAAAGCGCGCGUAGGCGGCUUUGUAAGUUAGAGGUGAAAGCCCGGGGCUCAACCCCGGAACUGCCUUUAAGACUGCAUCGCUUGAAUCCAGGAGAGGUGAGUGGAAUUCCGAGUGUAGAGGUGAAAUUCGUAGAUAUUCGGAGAACACCAGUGGCGAAGGCGGCUCACUGGACUGGUAUUGACGCUGAUGUGCGAAAGCGUGGGGAGCAAACAGG
rnacentral:rRNA from 1 species